GCAAAUGUACAUGUGUCAUUAGUAUGAGAAAAAAAAAAUAGAUUUUAACCGUGUCGGGCUCGAGUCGGGCUCAGACAUAAAUAUCUUAAUGCCUGUCGGCCUGUUACCAGGAAAGUGAGUCGAGUCGAGCAGAGCCACCCCAUGUGAUGGAAACGUGGCAUUAGUCUCUCUAUUCCCAGCUCCCCUAUCCUGUUUAUGGUUCCUUCUGAAGACAAACAUCUUAAAAAAAGAACCUUGCACAUAAAAAAGGUCACACAUGUAUAGUUAAUUUAAAAUACAUUGAUAAAGGCUCAGUCAUAUCCUUAGACAGCUGAGCACUGUAACAGAAAAUGUAUUGUGACAUUACGUAGCGUGCUGCCAGCUAACAAGUCAGCUUGUUGCCAACUGUUAACCAUUAGUUUGAUGUGGAAUCUCAUUGCUGACAAAGCCAAUUUUAAGUUUUUAAAGCGCCACCAACUUGUUCACAACAAUGUGACAUGCACCUUGCGUUGCAAAAAGGAAAAAAAGACUAAUAGUGGAGCAAAGAAAAGUACUCAAAAUGUGUCUGUGGUCUUUCAGUCACAGCCAGAUGGCUCAGCGGUAUUUUGAAAGCAAACCCUUUGUGAACCGUGUGAACAGAACUCAUGCAGAAAAGAUGUGUGUCUCACAGGAUGCAAAUGGUACCUUCUGCUCCGGGGGCAUUGGGUAACUCUAUUAACUACUGUGUCAUUAUAGGACAUGGGCCCCAGAGUACAGCUGUGACAUUUUGUGGUCACAGUUGUGAUAUUUUCACACAGAACAAGUGGCUACACCCAGGAAGCAGAGAGGGCUUCAUAGAAAAUGUUGUAGCUCCCAGAAGCAAAACAAAUACUUGAAUAUUAGAAAACAUUGACAAUAAAAAAAAAGCUUGAGGUGCACUAACUGGCUUUUCAGGAGCUUUCAACCACAUCUCUUGGUUGAAAGCUCAGGGGAAAAAAGUUUUUGUAAAAUCAAUCAAUUUUGCUCAUCAUGCACACUCACUGAGAACUGAGAGAGUGCUGGGUAUCAUUCGGACCUUUUUGAAUCUAGUGGCGAUACGAUACAUCAGUCUCGGUACAGAUACCAAAACAAGUUCUGAAAUGAGCAGUCUGGCUAGUCCACACAGCGUUCUGGGACGGGAGAGAGACGUGCUCUGGUCUAUUGGCAUUUCUUUAAACCAAUCGCAAUCGUCUUAGGUGGUGCUAAGCACCGCACGUAACAACGGAACCUCUGUAAAAUAGCCUCGGGAAGGAACUUGUUUUGGUGGAACGCGUGUACGUUCAAAAGUUUUAGAAAACUCUGAUUGGACAGAUCCCUGCAGAGAUCUGAGGAGCAGUUAACCAUAGUCCUAUACCAUAAAUCCACCGGAGUUUAGAACGCCAACACAAAGAAAAAGGAAGGUGACGGACACCAGGUCAAAUGUAAGACAUCCGGCGGAAUUUGCGGAUGUAGACUAAAAAAGGAGCAAAAGGAAAUUCAAUCAAAGAUUAUGUUACAAUAUUACAAAUCGGACCAGACAUUUGAUGCAAACCUAUGGUACUUUGGCCAGUUUUCCAAACUCGCUGCUAUAGACCCGUUUCAGUCGGCACCCCGGCGAAUUUGGUACUUGAUACCCAGGCGACUGUGACCUGUGACCCUCCAUCUGUUCUUCACGUGUUUCUGUCCACCUCCCUCUGACCUCAGCCUGUCUGCAGUGUAUUGCUUAGAGCGGUGAAUUCCAUUGUCAUUUAAACUGUCAUCUGAUACCUCCAUUGUGCAAUAGAUAAUGUUUAUUUUUAUUGUUGUUUUGUGUAUCCUGUGAAACCAGUCGGAUGUUUUUUUUUUUUUAUAUGUAGCGUAUGUUUUUAAUAUAAUUAUUUAUACACCAGCAACCACCCACUCCUCUGUCCCGGCUUUGUAGAGGAAGUUCAUGCUUUGCUUUCAUUUCAAAAUGCUUUUUGAUCUAUUAUGGGGAACGCAAAUGGUAACACAACGUUCAUCACUCAAUACGUUUUAAUGAUCAGCAAUGUUAGCAGUUAAAACAAUAACUGUGUUAAUAGGAUGACAGCUGGAAAACUUUUUUUUUUUUUAAAUGUACAACUUAUUUCUCAGUUUUCAUAUGCAUUUUAUUUCUCUCUCAAAAUGGUGGAUGUUUCAUUUUGGUAUAAAGCCUUUGUCUUAAUGACAUACUGAUGCUUAAUAGUAAGCAGCCCAAACUGAUUCUGGACUUUUCAUUCUCCAUUCACCUUCUUCUUUUCUUCUCCGAAGCUUCUUGGAUUCUGCCUUGAACUGCCCUUCCUCCCACGUAGGCAAAAUACUCUGAGCUGUCUUUAUUAAGAUGCAUACAAUGUGUAUACAGUCUGUAUAGUAACAUGUCUGUCAUAUUUGUCCUAUAAAAAGUGAAGAUGAAGAAGAAAAAGUAAACUUGAUUAGGAACCAUUUGGAGGAUUGCUUUACAGUUACACUAAUCUCUGAGGAGAGAACAGUGAUCCUCUCCACAUGGUCUGUACUGUUUACUACAAUAAACAUUUCAGUUGAAUGAG